rnacentral:rRNA from 1 species
UGGGGAAUCUUGCGCAAUGGGCGAAAGCCUGACGCAGCGACGCCGCGUGAGUGAUGAAGGCCCUAGGGUUGUAAAGCUCUGUGGAGAGGGACGAAUAAGCCAAGGUGAAUAGCCUUGGUGAUGACGGUACCUUUUUAGCAAGCACCGGCUAACUCUGUGCCAGCAGCCGCGGUAAGACAGAGGGUGCGAACGUUGUUCGGAAUUACUGGGCGUAAAGCGCGUGUAGGCGGCCAAGCAAGUCGGAUGUGAAAUCCCGGGGCUCAACCCCGGAAGUGCACUCGAAACUGCCUGGCUGGAGUGUCGGAGAGGGAAGCGGAAUUCUGGGUGUAGAGGUGAAAUUCGUAGAUAUCCAGAGGAACACCGGUGGCGAAGGCGGCUUCCUGGACGAUAACUGACGCUGAGACGCGAAAGCGUGGGGAGCAAACAGG